AUUUGGUGCUGAGGACACUUGAUAAACAACUUCUUAAAUCACUCCUAGUAAUCACAAAGUGACUCCCCUGGGUGCUGCUUGAUAUCACAGAUCUCCUUUCUUAGACU